AUACGGAGGGUGCAAGCGUUACUCGGAAUCACUUGGCGUAAAGCGCGCGCAGGCGGCUAUUUAAGUUGGAUGUGAAAGCCUACGGCUCAACCGUAGAACUGCAUCCAAAACUAUUUAGCUAGAGUGUGGGAGAGGAAGAUGGAAUUAGUUGUGUAGGGGUAAAAUCCGUAGAGAUAACUAGGAAUACCAAAAGCGAAGGCAAUCUUCUGGAACACUACUGACGCUGAGGCGCGAAAGCGUGGGGAGCAAACGGGAUUAGAAACCCUUGUAGUCC
rnacentral:rRNA from 1 species